rnacentral:rRNA from 1 species
UACGUAGGGGGCACGCGUGGUCCGGAAUUCCUGGGUGUAAAGGGCGUGUAGGCGACCCCUUAAGUUGAAUGUGAAAUCUCCCGGCUCAACUGGGAGGAGUCAUUCAAUACUGAGGGGAUAUGAGGACAGAAGAGGGAAGUGGAAUUCCCGGUGUAGCGGUAAAAUGCGUAGAUAUCGGGAGGAACACCAGUGGCGAAGGCGGCUUCCUGGUCUGUCCCUGACGCGGAUGCGAGAAAGCCAGGGGAGCACACGGGAGGAGAUAACCCGGUAGUCC